UCUAAAGAGAACGCAACACAAAACAAAACAAGCAAACACCAUCUUCUGAAAAACAGGUCACAUCAGUUGUGUUCCUGAGCACCGAGGCCAAGCGGCUCCACUGAAGCUGGAGCAGACUCAGCCCUCGGUGACUGAGCUGCCUGUGUGGGGACCAGCCAUGUUCUCAGGCUGGUAUCCCCACCUGUGGAGAGGCCAGGCUUCCCCCAGCCCUCCACUGGACGCUCUCCAGCCUGCAAGAGCAGUACUGUUCAGCUCCCUGUGACCAAUCUCUGAUCCACUGCCAGCCUGCAGAUGGUGGCUGAUACAAGGUCAUCUGAAUCGGCGCCCAGCCCAACCAUCCUCAGAGAGCCUUCCUCCAGCGUCUGGUGGAGCAGGUGCAGAGACAAACAUUAGGGAGAGCUCAAGAAACCCCAAGGAAGAAGAGGAGAAAGGACUGUAGGAGCCAGAGGGGUCCCGGACACCACAUGAGCACAGUCAACUAAGCAGGGCUCCUAGAGGCUCAGAGACUGAAGUGACACGCGCGGACCCUGUGUGGGUCUGAGCUGGGUCCUUCUGGCUGUGUAGCCUGGUGUUCUUGUGGGACUUCUCAGCUUGGGAGUGGAGGGGAUGUCUCUGACUCUCUUGCCUGCUCUUGGGACUGUUUUUCUCCUCCUAAGUUGCCUUGUCCACCCUUCAUAUGAGUGAGGUCUGUGCAUAGUCUUACCAUAAAUUGUUAUUUCCUGUUUUGUUGAUAUCCCUGCUCUUUUCUGAAGGCAAAUGGAGGAGUGGACCUGUGGGGGA
rnacentral:sRNA from 1 species